rnacentral:rRNA from 1 species
GACGAACGCUGGCGGCGUGCUUAACACAUGCAAGUCGUACGGUAAGGCCCUUUCGGGGGUACACGAGUGGCGAACGGGUGAGUAACACGUGAGUAACCUGCCCACAACUUUGGGAUAACGCUAGGAAACUGGUGCUAAUACUGGAUAUUUGCUCCUGCUGCAUGGUGGGGGUUGGAAAGCUCCGGCGGUUGUGGAUGGACUCGCGGCCUAUCAGCUUGUUGGUGGGGUAGUGGCCUACCAAGGCGGCGACGGGUAGCCGGCCUGAGAGGGUGACCGGCCACAUUGGGACUGAGAUACGGCCCAGACGCCUACGGGAGGCAGCAGUGGGGAAUAUUGCACAAGGGGCGCAAGCCUGAUGCAGCAACGCCGCGUGCGGGAGGACGGACUUCGGGUUGUAAACCGCUUUCAGCAGGGACGAAGCUUUUUGUGACGGUACCUGCAGAAGAAGCACCGGCUAACUACGUG